AGUGAACGCUGGCGGUAGGCCUAACACAUGCAAGUCGAACGGCAGCACAGUAAGAGCUUGCUCUUACGGGUGGCGAGUGGCGGACGGGUGAGGAAUACAUCGGAAUCUACUUUUUCGUGGGGGAUAACGUAGGGAAACUUACGCUAAUACCGCAUACGACCUACGGGUGAAAGCAGUGGAUCUUCGGACCUUGCGCGAUUGAAUGAGCCGAUGUCGGAUUAGCUAGUUGGCGGGGUAAAGGCCCACCAAGGCGACGAUCCGUAGCUGGUCUGAGAGGAUGAUCAGCCACACUGGAACUGAGACACGGUCCAGACUCCUACGGGAGGCAGCAGUGGGGAAUAUUGGACAAUGGGCGCAAGCCUGAUCCAGCCAUACCGCGUGGGUGAAGAAGGCCUUUGGGUUGUAAAGCCCUUUUGUUGGGAAAGAAAAGCAGCAGGUUAAUACCCCGCUGUUCUGACGGUACCCAAAGAAUAAGCACCGGCUAACUUCGUG
rnacentral:rRNA from 1 species